GAUGAAGAACGUAGCGAAAUGCGAUAAGUAAUGUGAAUUGCAGAAUUCAGUGAAUCAUCGAAUCUUUGAACGCACCUUGCGCCCUUUGGCCAUUCCGAAGGGCAUGCCUGUUUGAGUAUCAUGAACACCUCAACUCUUUAUGGUUUUCCAUGAUGAGCUUGGACUUUGGGGGUUUUGCUGGCCUAUGGUCGGCUCCUCUAAAAUAAAUCAGCUUACCGGUGUUUGGUGGGUAUCAUGGGUGUGAUAACUAUCUACGCUUGUGGUUUUUCCACCAGGUAACCUUCGACAGCGGAGGUUCACUGGAGCUCAUAGAUGUCUCUCCUCAGCGAGGACAGCCCUUUGAAUGUUUGAUCUCAAAUCAGGUAGGACUACCCGCCGAACUUAAGCAUAUCAAUAAGCGGAGGA
rnacentral:misc_RNA from 1 species